AUAACUACUGGUUCUACAGACAACAUUAACAACAGCCAACGGCUUUUUUGUACAUCAAGCUACUAAGCGCUCUUCUUACUUGUAAAAACUAUAAAGAUUAUUCAUAAAAAUAGGACUACAGUUAUCUUUAUAUUUGUAUUUGAAAUAGUGUAAUAGCUCUUGAAGAGUUGGUAAAAUGGUAACACAAAACAUACCAUACGCAUAGUGAGUUUGUCUUAAAAGACAUUCCCGAAAGAUAACGUUGCUUUACUACAACGGGCAAAGCUCGAUUACGUUUAGCUACUUGUUUAAUCAUCCGGCCUUAGGCCGGAUGAUUAAAUUACAAUGUAGUUGUUUACUCUAGGAGAGCCUAAUGUCGGCUGCGCAUUGGAGGACUACGUUUAGUAUAGCUACAACAUAAUAAGCUUAUCCCCCUUGGAAAUGUUUUUGAAAUAGUUAAGCUAUAUGUAAACUACAAACUAACUACAACUAGGCUUUUGUCGAAGGAAGAGAGACUCCCUUCUCCUAGUUUAGUAACGUUCUUUUUGGAAUUAGCGUAGCCAUCAUUAAACAGUAGUUGUUUCCCGAAGGGUCACCUAACUUAGUUAAGGUACAUUAGACUGGGAACCCCGUGACGUAGACCGUUGUUCAUAACUUGUGGAAUGUAGUUUAACAACAAAAAAUAACUUCCAGCUGGCUUGGCUUAUCGUUGUAAAGUAACACGUGAAUGGAAGUUUAUAACAAAGUUCAUAUUGCUAGGUACAUCUAGGAUUUAAUUUCGAUUUAAAUUAAUACAGUAAACUAAAAAACAAAAAAGAACUCACUCAAAGCUUUUUUACUCAGACAUUGCUGAUUUUAUACAUUUUUAUAGUAAUUUUAUUUAUUAAAUGUAUUUUUUUUGAGUUUCCUUNAAUAUACUAUAAUAUACCAGUACUAUAAUAUACCAGGACUAUGACGGUGCAUAGCAUAGCACCGGAAGAUCAAAGAACAUAGCAAUAUUUUCACGUUACGUAUGUUUUAAUAUUUAAAAUAAGAUAAAAUCUUUGCUUUAUGGUAAAAAAUUAAACGUAGUUAAACUGCAAUGAGUUCGUGGCACUUCGUUUACUACAACUAGGCUUAACGACGUUGUCCCCUUUGGUAACCCGGAGGGGAUGAAAAGCUACAACGUGCGUGAACACAGGCUUUCCGAGGGGGUAUUUUUUUUGCUUUGCCUUCCCCUAAAGGGGAACAACAUAGCGCAAUAUUNUUAGCUUUUUUACGGAAGGGCACCUUACUUUAACUACAUUAGGGAUUUUGCCUUGAACUACAUUGUUUUAAAUGAAUAACAAAACUAGCCCGCUAUAACCGUCAUUGUGGUUUGUUGGACUUUCUAUAACUUGUAGCGCGAGCUGCUAUUAAAACGCUGAUGCACCUUAGGCCACCGUAGGUUACGCGUACGGUAAUUGUAAGUACUCUUGUUACAAUGUAGCAAGUUAGAAGCUUUGCCGCGUGGGCGAUCACGCAUUUUUUUAGAAUAAGAAACAAAAAAAUUUUAAAAAAGCGGAUUUUAAAAUUUUUUAUUCACAGCGCUUUGCGCCUAAAAAUUAAAUAACAGCUUCUGUCUCUAAAAGUUAUUUUAUCUUAUAUAAAUUCUAAUGUCUUAAACCUGUUUAGCAACUUUCUAUAGUUUUAGGUUUUAUUGCUAAAAAAAAAUAACCAAAGGCUUAACGAAGUCUUGUGGAACAUACGCUGCUUUGCAGCUAUGUUAUAGUUUCAACGGAAGGCCUACUACAAGGAACAAAUAAAGGGGCUGUGGCAUCCCCUAAUGGGGAACAAGAAGGGGGACAACAUAUGUUGUCCGAACGAGAGCUUUGCCUUACCCAUUCCACACGCGUCAGCGUGUCAAUUUUCAAAAAGAGCUUAUAUUUUUAUAAAAAUAAAAAUACCUUUUUAAAAUUAAACCGUUUGUUGACAUUGGUAGGUUAGGUACUUCGUCGUCAAGAGUACUAAACUACAAAG
rnacentral:lncRNA from 1 species